CCUCGGGUGGCUGCAGUGGGGAAUAUUGGACAAUGGGCGAAAGCCUGAUCCAGCCAUGCCGCGUGUGUGAAGAAGGCCUUCGGGUUGUAAAGCACUUUCAGUGGGGAAGAAAGCCUUGGGGCUAAUACCCUCGAGGAAGGACAUCACCCACAGAAGAAGCACCGGCUAACUCCGUGCCAGCAGCCGCGGUAAUACGGAGGGUGCGAGCGUUAAUCGGAAUUACUGGGCGUAAAGCGCGCGUAGGCGGUCUGAUAAGCCGGUUGUGAAAGCCCCGGGCUCAACCUGGGAACGGCAUCCGGAACUGUCAGGCUAGAGUGCAGGAGAGGAAGGUAGAAUUCCCGGUGUAGCGGUGAAAUGCGUAGAGAUCGGGAGGAAUACCAGUGGCGAAGGCGGCCUUCUGGACUGACACUGACGCUGAGGUGCGAAAGCGUGGGUAGCAAACAGGAUUAGAUACCCUGGUAGUC
rnacentral:rRNA from 1 species